rnacentral:rRNA from 1 species
UACGGGGGGGGCAAGCGUUGUUCGGAAUUACUGGGCGUAAAGGGCGCGUAGGCGGUUCGCUAAGUUGAAUGUGAAAACUCUGGGCUUAACCCAGAGCCUGCAUUCAAUACUGGCGGGCUAGAGUUCUGGAGGGGAUAGCGGAAUUCCUGGUGUAGCGGUGAAAUGCGUAGAUAUCACGAGGAACACCGGUGGCGAAGGCGGCUAUCUGGACAGAGUCUGACGCUGAGGCGCGAAAGCUAGGGGAGCAAACAGG